AAUCAACGCUGGCGGCGUGCCUAACACAUGCAAGUCGAACGAGAAAGUGGAGCAAUCCAUGAGUACAGUGGCGACCGGGUGAGUAACACGUGACUACCUACCUCCGAAUGGGGAAUAACUCCGGGAAACCGGGGCUAAUACCGCAUAACACCGCAAGGUCAAAGCAGCAAUGCGUUUGGAGAGGGGGUCGCGGCUGAUUAGCUAGUUGGCGGGGUAACGGCCCACCAAGGCGAAGAUCGGUAUCCGGCCUGAGAGGGCGCACGGACACACUGGAACU
rnacentral:rRNA from 1 species